AGGGCAUAAUUUUGUGUUAACCAAAAAGUUUAAUAUAAACAAAUGAACGAACAAACGUCCUCCCCUUUUCUUCAGUGUAUGUACUAGAUUUUUGCAAAUUAGUUUGACAUAUUUAGGAUUACAGGUUGUCAUGGGCGGUGCUGUGUUCAACACAAAAAUCUUUGUUAUAUCAAAUGCAUGAAUGAAAGCGCAUUUCUGCUGGUAUAUAGGUUACAUUGCAUUAAACAGACUGAAUGCAUUAUAAAGAUGGCAUGUCAUAAUUGUCGCACGAGCUUUCAUUAAGCACCAUCUCAAACCCUGAUGGUGCGGAAUCCCGACCGAGGCUCAUCUGUGGUCUCGUUGCUUAAAAUAGCUACAGUCGCGGGCCAGUGCGCCCUUGAAACGCAUACAAGCCGAAAAACUCGCAUAAAGGGAUUAUGGAUUGAUACAAAUAGUCGCGCGCGCCAGCAACCUCUCGCGCGCUGAAUUAAUGCGCUGCUAUUUUUAGGACGCCAGUGUUUCCAGGGGAAACCUAAUGACGCAAUGACGUCAAUGCAGGUCAAUAGCUGACUGGAGGAAUUGAGCGCUUCCGUUACAUUUUGCGGCAUCUUGUGAAACAUUGCGAAUUUAUUUGAUACAUUUAGCAACGCCGACAUCAUAAUGCGUAAAAGCGAGCGGACGCGUCACGGUAUCUGUAGUAAUGCACGCACACGAGGAUUGCGCGCGUGUGCGAGUGCUUUUUCCUCUUCUGCUGGACUGUGAUGGGGAGCAAUGGUGUCUAUGGGAGGAAGGUUAGGCAUCUUCUCCACCUGAAAGCUCAGAGAUGUUUGAACAACCAGAAGCAAUCUAUGUGAAGAUAAACUGAAGAUCCACAAAAAAAAAAAAAUUCUGUGCACUUCUGUGCCUCUUGCUCUCUCUCUCUCUCUCUCUCUUUCUAUGUCCUUUACGGCUCUUUUUGCGGUCUGGGCUUGCUGUACCAUAAGUAACUAACCAGGAAGCCCUUACCCCAAAAAGUAUCUGUGGAGGUUCCUAACAGCUGAUGGUGGAAAUUUAAAUCUUCUCUGUCUAUCAGUAUUGAUGUUACCCGUAUGUUAUUUCUGAAACGUACCCACAUGUUUGCCACUGGCAUAAAAAACUUUUUAAAUAAAAUAAUGAUAUUGAACGUUCUUCUUCGUUUUAAAAUCUCCUAUCACAAUUAAGGAUUGACUGAACAUUUUACGAUUUUGUGUUAAAUUUGUAUACAGAGAGUUUGAAUGUUUUCUGCCCAGACUACUGAAUAUAAUAAUAACCAAUACUAGUGGGAAACAGGAAUAAGUUGUUAGUUGAGUAUUUGCCUUUAUCUUUGUUCUUGGGUGAAUGUUCAGAUUUACAUGAGCAUCUGAUAUUAAAAAAAUGCCAAAACAAUUCAGAAAAUGCAUGCAAAUUUUUAGCAUACAUGUGUAGAAAAUUAUGAACUCCAUAAUGCAAUAAUAUUUCUGUAUCUUAACGUCAAAAUCAUGCCUUUAUUGGUUUGCAGCAUGUCUGUGAAUGUUAUGAUACAAAAUAGCCACAUGGUGGUGCUGCUGUUCUAAAUCUGUAAGGAAUCACAAUCAUUACAUUACAUUGUGUGUGUGCGUGCGUGCGUGCGUGCGUGCGUGCGUGCGUGUACCUGGUAAUUAUCACGUUGUGGGGACCAAUAAAGAUAGGAAUACCAGUAAAUCUGUGACCUCGUGGGGACAUUUUGAGGUCCCCAUGAGGAAAAAAGCUUAUAAAUCAAACAGAAUGAUGUUUAUUGAAAAUGUGAAGUCGGAGAAAGUUUUCUGUGAUGGUUGGGGUUAGGGUUUUGGGAAGGGAAUAGAAUAUACAGUUUGUACGGUAUAAAAUGCAUUACGUCUAUAAAUAAAGCAAUUAUUAAUUUUCCUCAUGCAUGGUUGUUUCUUUACUUCCGUUUAAAACGUUAUACAUUUCGAAAAGGAGGAUUUUCAGCACUUUGUUCAAACAGCAACUGUGUGUAAUGUGGGAUCAAAGUAAGCUUUAUUCUCCAAAUGUACACACACACAAGGAAUUUGUUGAGGUUUUCAGAUCCACUAGGACACACACAUAUGAUAUAAUUACUGUAGCACACAAACUAGAAAAAUCAUAUACGUAAAAUUAAAAAUUGGUAAUGCUUUACAAUAAGGUUGUAUUUGUACAUGAUUACACUUUUAGAAAAAGGUACAAAAGUUGUCACUGAGGCAAUACCUUUUAAAAGGUCCUUAUAUGUACCAUUUUGGUACAGAUAUGUAUGGGUACAAGUAUGUACCAUUUUAUGUACAAAGGUACCAGUGACAACUUUUGUACCUUGUUGUACCUUUUCUUCUGAGAGUAUAGUUAAAGAUGCAGUGUGUAAAUUUUAGCGGCAUCUAGUGGUGAGGUUGCGAAUUGCAACCAAUGGCUCAGUCCACUGCUCACCUUUUGCUUUUGAAACACAUAGAGAAGCUACGGUAGCCGCCACCAGACAAACAUAUCAUCGUUGGAGACAACUUAGUAAAAAAGUUUGUCUGCUAAGGGCUUCUGUAGAAACAUGGCUGCACAAAAUGACGGCUUCCAUUCAAGGGGACCCUCUGUGUAUGUAGAUAAAAAUGUCUCAUUCUAAGGUAAUAAACACAUAAAGGUUCAUUAUGAAAGGUCUUUAUACACCCCUGAUAAUAUAGUUUUGUAUAUUAUUUUGCAUUUCUGUCAAGAGAUCCUUUUACAAAAAUUACACACUGCACCUUUAAGGCAGACUGAUCUCACAGCAAGUCAUGUUAUAGUCACAAAAAAUUGUAUUAAUUUAUUCAUGUCCAUGGCA